rnacentral:rRNA from 1 species
GACGAACGCUGGCGGCGUGCUUAACACAUGCAAGUCGAACGAUGAAAGCUGGAGCUUGCUCCGGCUGGAUGAGUGGCGAACGGGUGAGUAACACGUGAGUAAUCUGCCCUUGACUCUGGCAUAACUCCGAGAAAUCGGUUCUCAUACCGGAUAUGACCCUUGGCGGCACCGAUGGGGUUGGAACGUUUUUCGGUCAAGGAUGAGCUCGCGGCGUAUCAGCUUGGUGGUGAGGUAAUAGCUCACCAAGGCGACGACGGGUAGCCGGCCUGAGAGGGUGACCGGCCACACUGGGACUGAGACACGGCCCAGACUCCUACGGGAGGCAGCAGUGGGGAAUAUUGCACAAUGGGCGCAAGCCUGAUGCAGCAACGCCGCGUUGGGGAUGACGGCCUUCGGGUUGUAAACCUCUUUUAGCAGGGGAGAAGCGAAAGUGACGGUACCUGCAGAAAAAGCACCGGCUAACUACGUGCCAGCCGCCGCAGUAA